rnacentral:rRNA from 1 species
GGGGAUAGCCGUUGGAAACGACGAAUAAUACCCUAUGAAACUAUCACUUCGCAUGAAGCGAUAGUCAAAGUGUUAGCGGUGUAAGAUGGACUUGCGUCUGAUUAGCUAGUUGGUGAGAAAAAGCCCACCAAGGCAACGAUCAGUAGCCGGCUUGAGAGAGUGUACGGCCACAUUGGGACUGAGACACGGCCCAG